rnacentral:rRNA from 1 species
UAGGAACAGCUAGCAGUCUGAGACAUGCUCGUCGAUCGAACUCUGGUAUUGAGUGUGGUGCUUGCAUCAUGAUUUACAUUUGAGUGAGUGGCGAACUGGUGAGUAACACGUGGGAAACCUGCCCAGAAGCGGGGGAUAACACCUGGAAACAGAUGCUAAUACCGCAUAACAACUUGGACCGCAUGGUCCGAGCUUGAAAGAUGGCUUCGGCUAUCACUUUUGGAUGGUCCCGCGGCGUAUUAGCUAGAUGGUGGGGUAACGGCUCACCAUGGCAAUGAUACGUAGCCGACCUGAGAGGGUAAUCGGCCACAUUGGGACUGAGACACGGCCCAAACUCCUACGGGAGGCAGCAGUAGGGAAUCUUCCACAAUGGACGAAAGUCUGAUGGAGCAACGCCGCGUGAGUGAAGAAGGGUUUCGGCUCGUAAAACUCUGUUGUUAAAGAAGAACAUAUCUGAGAGUAACUGUUCAGGUAUUGACGGUAUUUAACCAGAAAGCCACGGCUAACUACGUGCCAGCAGCCGCGGUAAUACGUAGGUGGCAAGCGUUGUCCGGAUUUAUUGGGCGUAAAGCGAGCGCAGGCGGUUUUUUAAGUCUGAUGUGAAAGCCUUCGGCUCAACCGAAGAAGUGCAUCGGAAACUGGGAAACUUGAGUGCAGAAGAGGACAGUGGAACUCCAUGUGUAGCGGUGAAAUGCGUAGAUAUAUGGAAGAACACCAGUGGCGAAGGCGGCUGUCUGGUCUGUAACUGACGCUGAGGCUCGAAAGUAUGGGUAGCAAACAGGAUUAGAUACCCUGGUAGUCCAUACCGUAAACGAUGAAUGCUAAGUGUUGGAGGGUUUCCGCCCUUCAGUGCUGCAGCUAACGCAUUAAGCAUUCCGCCUGGGGAGUACGGCCGCAAGGCUGAAACUCAAAGGAAUUGACGGGGGCCCGCACAAGCGGUGGAGCAUGUGGUUUAAUUCGAAGCUACGCGAAGAACCUUACCAGGUCUUGACAUACUAUGCAAAUCUAAGAGAUUAGACGUUCCCUUCGGGGACAUGGAUACAGGUGGUGCAUGGUUGUCGUCAGCUCGUGUCGUGAGAUGUUGGGUUAAGUCCCGCAACGAGCGCAACCCUUAUUAUCAGUUGCCAGCAUUAAGUUGGGCACUCUGGUGAGACUGCCGGUGACAAACCGGAGGAAGGUGGGGAUGACGUCAAAUCAUCAUGCCCCUUAUGACCUGGGCUACACACGUGCUACAAUGGAUGGUACAACGAGUUGCGAACUCGCGAGAGUAAGCUAAUCUCUUAAAGCCAUUCUCAGUUCGGAUUGUAGGCUGCAACUCGCCUACAUGAAGUCGGAAUCGCUAGUAAUCGCGGAUCAGCAUGCCGCGGUGAAUACGUUCCCGGGCCUUGUACACACCGCCCGUCACACCAUGAGAGUUUGUAACACCCAAAGUCGGUGGGGUAACCUAAGAGGUACCAACCUACCUCAUAGAGUUAUGCCAC